AAUCAGCGCGCCGACCGGCCGCCGCCGCCGGGGGCCCGCAGGGGCCGCCCCCGCCAGCAGGACCAGGUCAUCGGUCACCAGCUGCCGCCGCCCGGCUUCGGUCGCACGCCGCCGGAGCAUCGUCUGGACGUCCAGUCCGCGCUGGCUUCUAAGCCAGCGCCUGCUCCGUUCCUGUUCAACGUACCGGGCGAAGGUGUCAUCCAGCUGCCGCCCCCACCGAGCCACGCCACCGACAUCAAGUCAUCUGUCUUCCCGCCUCCUUUCCCUGUCGGUGCACCGGCCAACAAGCGACCCGGUCGCCAUGGCAGCCGGCGACGCGGUCCCAACGCCAAUCAGGAGCCGCCGCCCAGGCGCUCGCCACCCAAUCAAGACCAGCGGCGCCGACCACCACCCAAUCACGACCAGCCACGUCGCCCACCCGAAGGUCGUCGGCCGCCGGUUAGCCACCGACAUCCGCCAGGCGACCACGGAGGCCACCGUCACCCGCACGGCGAGGAGCGCCAGCAGGAGAGCGAGCGACGGCGGCCG